AGCAAACAGCGGAUGUGCAGUUCCUCUCUUCGCCGAACCCGGUUUUCCCUUUCUGCGGAGCAGCGCGACCGAUUUCCGGUUUCCCCGCCGCAACCACCGUUACCCCCCCGCCCCAAUCCCCGGCGACUCCAGCGACGUCACCGGUUCAGCUCCUGACCUUUCGGCGAACCGCGGAACCACAGGCGACCCGUUCGACGUCAUCACUCCCCGCCCAGAUGUCGCUGUGACAUCACCCCGCACGUGCCUGCGCUGGCACCGCGUCAUCCUGGCGAGCGCCUCCUCGCGGCGGAAGGAGAUCCUGGGGUUCGCUGUGCGAGACAUGUCGGCGGGGUUUCACGUGAGUGACACUUGGUCCCCAUGGGAUUGACAGCGACUAGCGGAGUGGCAUGUGGACGUAGCUUCAGGUGACCUCACUGACCCCGCCCCUGACUCCACCCCUUGUGAUGACCCCACCACUGACCCACAGGCCUUGGAGGGGCUGAUCCUGGAGAAGCCAAAGGACCAGGAGGAUGCCAUGGGGGUGCUGUACAGGCUGAGCAGGAAGCAGAGCAGCACAGCGUCAUCAUGAGGGUAGCCAUCUUCACCUGGGGCAUCCACGGAGGAGGAGCUGAUCCACGACUACUUGGACACCAGCACACCAGCGAAGGAUGGUGAGGCCCCGCCCCCUGCCUGCACAUGACACUGCCACGCCCUGUCUGAGAUUCUACCAAGUGGUUCUGGGAUAAUAGAUUGAGGGGAUGGGGGCUGCAUACAUUUGCAUGAGUUUGCAUAUUUUGGGCUCAUUUGAAUAAAUUUGUAUAAGUUAACACC
ensembl:antisense Rab10os RAB10, member RAS oncogene family, opposite strand